GAUGGACGCUGGCGGCGCGCCUAACACAUGCAAGUCGAACGGCACCCACCUCCGGGUGGAAGUGAGUGGCGAACGGCUGAGUAACACGUGGAGAACCUGCCCCCUCCCCCGGGAUAGCCGCCCGAAAGGACGGGUAAUACCGGAUACCCCGAGGUGCCGCAUGGCACCCCGGCUAAAGCCCCGUCGGGAGGGGAUGGCUCCGCGGCCCAUCAGGUAGACGGCGGGGUGACGGCCCACCGUGCCGACAACGGGUAGCCGGGUUGAGAGACCGACCGGCCAGAUUGGGACUGAGACACGGCCCAGACUCCUACGGGAGGCAGCAGUGGGGAAUCUUGCGCAAUGGGGGGAACCCUGACGCAGCGACGCCGCGUGCGGGACGGAGGCCUUCGGGUCGUAAACCGCUUUCAGCAGGGAAGAGUCAAGACUGUACCUGCAGAAGAAGCCCCGGCUAACUACGUGCCAGCCGCCGCAGUAA
rnacentral:rRNA from 1 species